AGAUUGAACGCUGGCGGCAGGCCUAACACAUGCAAGUCGAGCGGCAGCACGGGUACUUGUACCUGGUGGCGAGCGGCGGACGGGUGAGUAAUGCCUAGGAAUCUGCCUGAUAGUGGGGGAUAACGUUCGGAAACGGACGCUAAUACCGCAUACGUCCUACGGGAGAAAGUGGGGGAUCUUCGGACCUCACGCUAUCAGAUGAGCCUAGGUCGGAUUAGCUAGUUGGUAGGGUAAAGGCCUACCAAGGCUACGAUCCGUAACUGGUCUGAGAGGAUGAUCAGUCACACUGGAACUGAGACACGGUCCAGACUCCUACGGGAGGCAG
rnacentral:rRNA from 1 species